AUUGAACGCUGGCGGCAGGCCUAACACAUGCAAGUCGAGCGGAUGAAGGGAGCUUGCUCCUGGAUUCAGCGGCGGACGGGUGAGUAAUGCCUAGGAAUCUGCCUGGUAGUGGGGGAUAACGUCCGGAAACGGGCGCUAAUACCGCAUACGUCCUGAGGGAGAAAGUGGGGGAUCUUCGGACCUCACGCUCUCAGAUGAGCCUAGGUCGGAUUAGCUAGUUGGUGGGGUAAAGGCCUACCAAGGCGACGAUCCGUAACUGGUCUGAGAGGAUGAUCAGUCACACUGGAACUGAGACACGGCCCAGACUCCUACGGGAGGCAGCAGUGGGGAAUAUUGGACAAUGGGCGAAAGCCUGAUCCAGCCAUGCCGCGUGUGUGAAGAAGGUCUUCGGAUUGUAAAGCACUUUAAGUUGGGAGGAAGGGCAGUAAGUUAAUACCUUGCUGUUUUGACGUUACCAACAGAAUAAGCACCGGCUAACUUCGUG
rnacentral:rRNA from 1 species